rnacentral:rRNA from 2 species
GAUGAUUUUGGAUCCGACUGAGUGGCGAACUGGUGAGUAACACGUGGGUAACCUGCCCAGAAGAAGGGGAUAACACCUGGAAACAGAUGCUAAUACCGUAUAACAACAAGAACCACAUGGUUCUUGUUUGAAAGCUGGCCUUUGUGCUAGUGCUUCUGGAUGGACCCGCGGCGUAUUAGCUAGUUGGUGAGAUAAUAGCUCACCAAGGCAAUGAUACGUAGCAGACCUGAGAGGGUAAUCUGCCACAAUGGGACUGAGACACGGCCCAUACUCCUACGGGAGGCAGCAGUAGGGAAUCUUCCACAAUGGACGAAAGUCUGAUGGAGCAACGCCGCGUGAGUGAAGAAGGGUUUCGGCUCGUAAAACUCUGUUGUUAGAGAAGAACAGCCGUGAGAGCAACUGCUCACGGUAUGACGGUAUCUAACCAGAAAGUCACGGCUAACUACGUGCCAGCAGCCGCGGUAAUACGUAGGUGGCAAACGUUGUCCGGAUUUAUUGGGCGUAAAGGGAGCGCAGGCGGUUUAUUAAGUCUGAUGUGAAAGCCUUCGGCUUAACCGGAGAAGUGCAUCGGAAACUGAUAAACUUGAGUGCAGAAAAGGAUAGUGGAACUUCAUGUGUAGCGGUGAAAUGCGUAGAUAUAUGAAGGAACACCAGUGGCGAAGGCGGCUAUCUGGUCUGUAACUGACGCUGAGGCUCGAAAGCAUGGGUAGCAAACAGGAUUAGAUACCCUGGUAGUCCAUGCCGUAAACGAUGAAUGCUAGGUGUUGGAAGGUUUCCGCCUUUCAGUGCCGCAGCUAACGCAUUAAGCAUUCCGCCUGGGGAGUACGACCGCAAGGUUGAAACUCAAGGAAUUGACGGGGACCCGCACAAGCGGUGGAGCAUGUGGUUUAAUUCGAUGCUACGCGAAGAACCUUACCAGGACUUGACAUCUUCUGCCAAU